ensembl:lncRNA
UCAGUGGGUUUGUGAACAGCUGGUCAGCAUUCAAAGGCCAUGACUGCGUGUAAAAGUGUGCCUGAACUGAGGCAGUGAUACACUGUACAUUGUCUUCAGUCAUGUAAAAUGUCUAAUAAUGUAUGUUUCCUCAAUCUAGAAGUGCAGUGAUCUCUUAGAAAACCACGUCAGUCAUUCAAGUGAAAAGCACCCAGCACUUCACUGGAACCUAAGUUACAACAUGACAGCAGCAAAUUGCAGGAAUUAGAAUGGUUUUCGGGUCAGAUGGUUUUCUUUGAUAGCCGCAGACCACAGACAAGGUUUUCUUCCUGGAUAACUUAUCAGGAGCCAAGCUGCCACAAAAACAUGACGCAAGUAGUUCUGCUGCGCUGGACACACACUGAAUUCAUUAUACCUGUGGUGGGCUGCAGCAAGCUAUGAGAAGCAGGGGCGAGACUGUUAGCUUAGCUUUACAUCCGUCUGCUAUGGCUAGUGAGACCUGCAGGCCCCCUGAACCAGGAAGCUCACUGAGGGAACAGCUGCAUCUGUCAGCUGCUCUCCAGAGGCCCCAUACUGAGCUCUGCUCUGCAUCUAUGGAUGAGCGCUUGUAAUAUCACCAAAGCGGCCACAAAAAACAGUAGCCCGGGAAAGAGGUGUGUUCCCUCUGCCAGUUUGGUUCAGGCUAAAUGAACAGAGAAUCACAGUGGGUGUAAGAUUACCACAUAACAUAACACAUAACAUUUAGACACUAUCAUAAUUGUAUGCAAAAGCCACAAACUCCAGUGGUGUCCAUUUUAACUGCCUUUUAUUAGUUCAGCAAAGCAAGCAUCCAGUUGUGGUUGACUCUACACAAUGACUCCUGUCUCUUCUCAGCGCCAGCAGGUGUUUCCUGAUGGGAGCCUCAGCGAUCUCACACUGGUGAUGAGACUUCAAUCCUCGGCGAGACAAAAUGUAACUGAAGUGGCAUUGUUCAUCAACCAAAUGGGUGCCAACAACAGCCAGUGCAGCAGAGCGGGCGACACAUUCAAUCCCUUCAACAUGACAUCAGUGGUGAGCCUGGACGGCCUAAUCUUUAACUUCAUCUAUCUAUCUAUCUAUCUAUCUAUCUAUCUAUCUAUCUAUCUAUCUAUCUAUCUAUCUAUCUAACAUUGUCACAUUGGUCCAUUUGUACUUGUGUGAAGUUAUAAUUAAAACAUUUUCAUUAUUGAACAUUCAUAAGCCCAGUGCUCUGUAAUAUUCGGGCUCUCUCACUUGGAUUUAUGAUUUAAAAAUGAAAGACCUUGGUCAGAUAAUUUAAUGAUAUAUUUGAUAUGGUGCAGUGUAUAGAAAGGGACAGAACCUCCAUGCAGUGCAGAGAAGGGGAGUCUGUUCAUUCUGAGCUUCUGUUUCCAUUAAAUGUCAGAUAACAUUCAGAGCCAUGAUCCCCAAAUUGCCCUUUUGCUGUGUGACAUGUAAUCCACUUCCUUUUUUCUAUUCCCUGUUCAGAGCUCCAGCUGUUCACUAGAAAACCCUCUGAGCUGUGUGAUGGGAGAGGUGUCGGCAAGGCAAGGAAAUGUGAGCUUGACUCAGGGACAGGUCUUCACAGACAGCAUCAUCCAGCUCACUGGAGACGAGACAGGUAGGACACACACAUCAGAGUGUGUGUGUGUGCAGCAGUGGCAACAAUUAAAGUGUUUAAGAAAACGCAUUAGUGGUCCUUUACUAGUAAUUCUAGUUUAGGACUUGUGCACCCAAAGACAUGAAUGAAGAUAUUUCAUGAUGUACUGUAUGUAAUGAUAUGAAAAGAACAGAGCUUGCUCAUGUUUGUCUGUGUUCGCAGUGGUCGGCAGAUCCCUGGUGCUGAAGAGCGGAAACAGCAUCAUCGCAUGUGCAGAAAUCCUCCCAGAAUCCUCUUCAGCAGAGCAGACCUUUCCCAAUGUGACUAACUUCAGCAGGUGAGUGUAAUAAAAACUCAGACUGUGUGUCCUGACUGGUGUAUCUUAAAUAUCUUGGCAGACUUUCAAGGAGUGCUUUGCCCUAAAGGGUCAUUUGAAAUCAAAUGCUACAGAAGUGUUGUUCCUGUAAAUACAGUAUGACCUUUCUGACGGCAUAAAUGUGGUGGUUUGCAGACAUGUGCAGUAUUUUUGUCAGGUCACUGUUAGAAGAAGACUUGUUGUUUUAGGCUGAGCUCCAGUUUUGUAUAGAUCAUAUUGAUUAUAGAUUUGUUUAAUUAUCUGGCAUGAAUCAUGGAUGAUUUUCACACUAGGUGACACUGGAGGACUCGAUCACACUGCCCUGGUGCCUUCAUCUUUAAAAAAGAUCUCUUGUUCUUUAUAUCUGUAGCACAUUUUUAUCAUGAAAUAAAGUUAAUCAGGUUUGAGGAUUUUUUCUUGAUAAAACAUUUCAUGUAUGAUAUGUUUUAUCUUGGGAACAUAGACAGCAUUCACAGAUCCAUGUUUCAUGAUGUAAUUAGAAAGUACAGAUGGUAGUGUGCAAUGGGACAGAAUUGCAUCCUAAUUAACAUCAAAAUAUUUCACUUGUAGUAGGACAUGACCAAACUGUGCACUACAGUAUAAUUAGGAUAGUAUUUUCUUUUAAAUUUUACAGAAUAAAAUGUUCCUCCAUGUAGUGCUAUGUAAAUAAACUCAGGGAAUUCCUAAUUGGCCUAUAAAAGAACUUAGGAAACAUCUGAUCAAAUAAAGAGUACACAAAUGCAUUUUUAACAGAUUUAUGUAUUGUAUAUUUUGGAACAGUUCUGUUAAAGUCCAUUAAUUCAGAAGGGUUCUUUGUCAAUUACGAGGUCAUCAUCAAACUACUGCAAAGACAGUCUGUGAGUGUUUCGUGAUAGGGCGUCUUCAUUUGUAUUCAGUAUUUUCAUUUUCAUUGCUAGUAAAAGAGUAAAACAGAAACAGAAAGAGAUUUAAAUAGGUUGCACGCCCUCCAUUGUUUUGAGCCCUGUCAAUCAAAAUGUAAUUUGUAUAGCCGAUUAAUCUCCAUAAAAUAUGCAGCAG